rnacentral:rRNA from 1 species
CUACGGGAUGCAGCAGUGGGGAAUAUUGCACAAUGGGGGAAACCCUGAUGCAGCAACGCCGCGUGGAGGAUGACGCAUUUCGGUGUGUAAACUCCUUUUAUAUCCCAAGAUAAUGACGGUAGGAUAUGAAUAAGCACCGGCUAACUCCGUGCCAGCAGCCGCGGUAAUACGGAGGGUGCAAGCGUUACUCGGAAUCACUGGGCGUAAAGGGCGCGUAGGCGGGUUGUCAAGUCUUGAGUGAAAUCCAACGGCUCAACCGUUGAACUGCUUGAGAAACUGGCAGCCUAGAGUGAGGGAGAGGUAGAUGGAAUUGGUGGUGUAGGGGUAAAAUCCGUAGAGAUCACCAGGAAUACCCAUUGCGAAGGUGAUCUGCUGGAACUCUACUGACGCUGAGGCGCGAAAGCGUGGGGAGCAAACAGGAUUAGAUACCCCAGUAGUC